GAAAUGCGAUAAGUAAUGUGAAUUGCAGAAUUCAGUGAAUCAUCGAAUCUUUGAACGCACAUUGCGCCCGCCAGCACUCUGGCGGGCAUGCCUGUUCGAGCGUCAUUUCAACCAUCAAGCCCCGGGCUUGUGCUGGGGACCUGCGAGCUCUUCGCCCGCAGGCCCCGAAAAUCAGUGGCGGGCUCGCUGUCACCCCGAGCGUAGUAGUAUUAUCUCGCUUAGGGCGUGCUGCGGGUUCCGGCCGUUAAACCCCCCCAUACCCCAAGGUUGACCUCGGAUCAGGUAGGAAUACCCGCUGAACUUAA
rnacentral:misc_RNA from 1 species